rnacentral:rRNA from 1 species
ACCUGGCUCACACCGGUUUAAAMUCAGAUCAUGUAAAAUUUUAAAGGUCGAACAGACCUGCCUCAUUAGCUUYUACACCAAUAAUUUAUUUUAAUCCAACAUCGAGGUCGCAAUCUUUUUUUUCGAUAAGAACUCUAAAAAAAAUAACGCUGUUAUCCCUAAGGUAAUUUAAUCUUUUAAUCUUUACUUAAGGAUCAUUAACCUAUACAUUAAUAUUAGACAAAAAAAAAGUUCUUUAAAUUUCCCUGUCACCCCAACAAAAUAAAUAAAUAUAAGCCUAAACUAAAAUACCUAAACCCAUACUCAUAAAUACUUAUCAAACUCUAUAGGGUCUUCUCGUCUUCUAUAAAUAUUUAAGCUUUCUCACUUAAAAAUAAAAUUCUAUUACAAAUCUCCCAGAGACAGUUACUUUUUCAUCAAACCCUUCAUCCAAGCUUUCAAUUAAAAAACUAUUGAUUAUGCUACCUUUGCACGGUCAAUAUACCGCGGCCAUUUAAAUAAUCARAGGGCAGGUCARACCUAAAAUCCUGAUCAWUAGGCC